rnacentral:rRNA from 1 species
CAAUAGCGUAUAUUAAAGUUGUUGCGGUUAAAAAGCUCGUAGUUGGAUUUCUGCUGAGAACGACCGGUCCGCCCUCUGGGUGUGUAUCUGGCUCUUUCUUGGCAUCUUCUUGGUGAACGUUGCUGCACUUGACUGUGUGGAGCGCUACCCAGGACUUUUACUUUGAGGAAAUUAGAGUGUUUCAAGCAGGCAUACGCCUUGAAUACAUUAGCAUGGAAUAAUAAGAUAGGACCUCGGUUCUAUUUUGUUGGUUUCUAGAGCUGAGGUAAUGAUUAAUAGGGAUAGUUGGGGGCAUUCGUAUUUAACUGUCAGAGGUGAGAUUCUUGGAUUUGUUAAAGACGGACUACUGCGAAAGCAUUUGCCAAGGAUGUUUNCAUUG